AUGCAGAUUCCCAGGCCUGACAGAGUCAGAUCUGUAGUUUACCAAGAUCAGAUCCAGAGUCUGCUCUCUCAGUCAUUGUUUGCUAUUUUCCUCCAUUUCUGCAUUUAUUGGAAACACAUUCUCAACUGCACAGGAAAAGACCUCAGUUUCAGAUCUUCAAUUAGAGAUGAUUCGCCUUCACCCUACUGUGGAAGGUUCCUCGCUUGAGAGUCUCGGCGCUGGAGAGGGUGGGAUGCCUCAAUUAGCUGGCUCUUCUGACCGCCUAUGGCAUGUCUGUCCACACUGUCCUGAGAUUUAGGGCCUUUAGAAGCACCAGGCUUCCAGUCUUGGGAAUUUCUGAUUAGGGCAGUUUCUCUACAGGGAACUCCAGGAAGGAGCGUAAUUGCUCAAAAUCAGAAUUCAAUCCUCCCACCAUCUCUUCCCAUCGUUAACCUCAGGAAGUCUGCAGUCACUUGCUACCCAUUACACGUCCCUUUGUUCACAGCUCUGCCUUGGAUAUUGUUAGGGCUGGCGUCACCCCUCUUUUAAUCUCCCUAGUAAACUGCUCCACUUAGCGGUAGGCAGCAUCUCCCAGAGGCAGAGCUGGGUGUAUGGAGACGGGGUAUGCCAGCUUCAGAGGACAGGUGGGAGGCCAGGAUGAAGCCUGGCCACUCACAUCAACUGGGAGUGGCAGAGACUUUCUGGGCAGUGCCUGCCUGGCCCCUGGCUUCAGCUGGGAGCUGACUUUCAGUGGGCAUGCCAUGGUUGUUGGCACUGAGAGGGCCCUUCCCUAAGGAGGGCUGAGUGGUUCCAGGAUUUUCCAGGGCCCUGGUUCCCAGAGCCAAUUCACCUUCAGAACCACCUGGAAGUGAGAGAUUCCUUAAAAUGAAGAUUUCCCAACCCAAGAAUCAGAGUCUUCUGGGUAUGGACAUGAUUCCUGCUACCUUUCCAUGAAGUAGAAAAAAGUACCCGCUCUGCGGAGAUGCGGACCCACUGCCAUGUGGCUUAGCGAAUGGAUGCAGCCUUUUUGAGAUGAGAACCUCCCUGCUUUCUUUGGGGAAGGCAGCCCUGCGUGGAGACAUGACUGGCAGCCGAAUGCAACUGCACCUCCGGCCCCCGUUUGCCUUCUUAGCCAGGUCCUUUUUGUGCAGUAAACACCCUGCAUUGUUGUAAAUGGUGGCCCUUAGGUAGGGCUGGGAAAAACCGUGCAGGUGAUUUUGGUGAUCAGCCAGGUGGGAGCCCCUGAGGCCUGGAGAGCAACUGUAACUCAAGGGGCUACCCGGGGUGAGCAUAACACCACGGCUACUCCCUUCCUGUGCUGGGGGCUCCUCAGACAUUCCUAGGCCAAGGUUCUGCCCCUCUCUUGUUUACCCACUCAAAAUAAGCAAAACAAAAGCCUAGCCUCUAGGAAUAACAUUUAGGGAAGGCAGUGACAGAAGAAAGGAGAGGAAAGGAGAAUGGAAGGAGGGGAGGGGAGGGGCUCUUAUCUAUAUCCAGCAGGUCCAGCCCUGCCUGUGCACACAGCUGAGUCACACCUCACGUCCUGCUCCACCCCAGCCCUGCCAGCCCUGAGAUAUCUGCCAAGAGGUAUUUCUCCUUCUAGGCUGAGUUCUGGGGGGUGGCAAGGUGGAUAGCACUGGUGGGGAAGCAAUGCGUCUGGACUCUCAUCCCCAGUGAAGCCUUGCAGAGCACCCUGGGGAGAGUGAGUGACCUCUCAAGGCAUUUCAGCUUUUUCAGUGGAACAGGGAGGUAGGUUUCAGGGUGUUAAUGAGAGGCAGAGGGCACCCACCCCUCCAUGGCAGGGAGAGGCUCCAAGCCACGUAGUCCCUCUGGCAUUGCUUUGUAGUAUCACGGUGUGACAAGUGUGUCAGUCAGCUUUGACUAACUUCCAUGGUGGUGACAGUGUCCUCUACUCCCUCACCCCACCCCAGAUCUCAGUGUUUACAAAAACAGAGGCUGACUUCACACUCACAUUGGCUGCAGCUCUCUCUCCAAGUCAUCUUCAUUCCUGGACCCAGGUAGGAGCAGCCCCUAUCUGGGCCAUGCGGGGCUUGUGGCACCAAGCAGUGGUGCUCAAAGCUUUUGCUGAGAUAUGCAUCUGAGGUUGCAUUGUCCAAAUCAAGUCACAGGACCAAACCUGCGUCAAUGGGGCAGGGAUGUAUAAUUCUAUCACAGGGGAUAGGGGAAUGAAUAAUUGGGAAUAGUAAUGCAAUCUUCUGCCAUGGACCCCUGACUUAGGCUGAAAGGAUUUCUUCACAGGAAGAGAGAACAUAAUUUAGCCAAAGAAGACUGUGUGGAGUAGUGGAAAGAGCAAGGCUUGGACCUGGAGGCCUGGAUUUCAACCAGGACUCGGCUAGC
rnacentral:lncRNA from 1 species